AAUAUUGCCAUUGCUCUUCACAUUUUUCCUCCUAGGAUAAAAAGUCCUAAUCUGAUGGAUUUUCUCCCAAUAAAAAUCUUAGUCUGAUGAAUUUUUCUCCUAAGAUAGAAAACCUAGUCUGAUGAAUUUUCUCCUAGGAUAGAAAUCUUAGUCUGAUGAAUCUUUCUCCUAAGAUAACAAAAAAAGACCUAGUCCGAUAAAUUUUAUCCUAAGAUCGAAAUCUUAGUCUGAUGAAUCUUUCUCCUGAGAUAGAAGACCUAGUCUGAUGAAUUUUCUCCUAGGAUAGAAAUCUUAGUCUGAUGAAUCUUUCUCCUA
rnacentral:lncRNA from 1 species